GUUCAUCUUCUUCAUGGACUCGUUCUUCUUCCUUGCGGGAUUUCAGGCAAGAUGACCGCUACCCUGGAUCUCACUACUAUCAUUGCUAUGCUAGUUGCCUCGUUCUUUCGCUAUGCUGCGCUACCUAUUACCUGUUUGUCCAGCCAUCCCAUAUUGCCAUGAACCUCUAACCUUUGACACCUUUCCUAUGCAAACCGUUGUUUGGCUAUGUUACCGCUUUUGCUCAGCCCCUCUUAUAGCGUUGCUAGUUGCAGGUGAAGUUGAAGAUUUCUCCAUGGUGGACAGGGUUUAUGUUGGGAUAUCAUAAUAUCUCUUAUAUUAUUAAUGCAUCUAUAUACUUGGUAAAGGGUGGAAGGCUCGGCCUUAUGCCUGGUGUUUUGUUCCACUCUUGCCGCCCUAGUUUCCGUCAUACCGGUGUUAUGUUCCCGGAUUUUGCGUUCCUUACACGGUCGGGUGAUUUAUGGGACCCCCCUGACAGUUCGCUUUGAAUAAAACUUGUCCAGCAAGGCCCAACAUUGACUUUUACCAUUUGCCUCACCUAGCCCUUUUUCCCUUGGGAGUCGCGCUCUCGAGGGUCAUCUUUAUUUACCCCCCCCCCCGGGCCAGUGCUCGUUGUGAGUGUUGGUCCAAACCGUCAGCCGCCAGUGGCCACCAGGGGCAACUCUGGGCUGGCUUACCGGAAGUUUGGACAAUCCGGUGUGCCCUGAGAACGAGAUAUGUGCAGCUCCUAUCAGGAUUUGUCGGCACAUUCGGGCGGCUUUGCUGGUCUUGUUUUACCAUUGUCGAAAUGUCUUGAUGUACCGGGAUUCCGAGACUGAUCGGGUCUUCCUGGGUGAAGGUCUAUUCCUUCGAUGAUCGCGAGAGCCUGUCAUGGGCUAAGUUGGGACACCCCUGCAGGGUAUAAACUUUCGAGAGCCGUGCCCGCGGUUAUGUGGCAGAUGGGAAUUUGUUAAUGUCCGGUUGUAGACAACUUGACACUUGAUCCGAAUUAAAAUGCAUCAACCGAGUGUGUAGCCGUGAUGGUCUCUUCUCGGCGGAGUCCGGGAAGUGAACACGACUUCUGUGUUAUGUUUGACGUAAGUAGGUGUUCAGGAUCACCUCUUGAUCAUUGCUAGCUUCACGUCCGUUCCGCUUGUUCUCUUCUCGCUCUUAUUUGCGUUGGUUAGCCACCAUACCUUUGCUUAGUCGCUGCUGCAACCUCACCACUUUGCCCCUUCCUUUCCCAUUAAGCUUUGCUAGUCUUGAUACCCAUGGUAAUGGGAUUGCUGAGUCCUCGUGGCUCACCAGAUACUUCCAAAACCAGUUUGCAGGUGCCUAUGUUACCGAGCAGGUGACGCAACCAAGCUCAAGGAGGAGCUCGAUGAAGAUCUUGCCUUUUGUGUUGUUUCGUUCUAGUUGAUCAGUAGUGGAGCCCAGUUGGGGUCGAUCGGGGACCUUUUGUCGCAUUUGGGGUUCUUCUUUUAUUUUGGUUCCGUAGCCAGACCUUGAUUGUAUCUGGAUGAUGUAAUGCUUUAUUCAUGUAAUUGUGUGAAGUGGCGAUUGUAAGCCAACUAUGUAUCUCUUUCCCUUAUGUAUUACUUGGGAUGUGUGAAGAUUACCUCACUUGCGACAUUGCUUUCAAUGCGGUUAUGCCUCUAAGUCGUGCUUCAACACGUGGGAGAUAUAGCCGCAUCGAGGGCGUUACAAGUUGGUAAUCAGAGCCUUCCCCGACCUUAGGAGCCCCACUGCUUGAUCGUUUUUAGUGGCCGAGUUGUGUCUAGAAAAAUGUUUUGAGUCAUUUAGGAAUUAUAUAUCGGAGAGUAGGAUUGUUUUUACUCCCCAGUCCCUUCGACCUUCUGGUGAGGUAUCCUGACAUAGAGUUUUGACUCUUCUCUUCUUAAAUUUCACUAAAUUUUUUUUUUUAGGAUCACGGUAUCUUGGAAUCGUUCCGAUAUUCUUAUGACGAGAACAUUGUUCUUGGUGCCUCCUAACAUUUAGGGGUUGUGGCAGUGUCCCGGGGAGUUGAGCUCCGAGGUGUUGUCGUCAUAAUUUUAUCGUUGCAGUUCUGGAAUACCUGAGUUUAGUACGCCGACAUCGAAAAUCUCUUUUAUGCAGUUGUUGGUGAGAUAACCCCGCUAACCCAGUACUGAGGUGAGUACGGGAGUAUUGCCAUGACUCGUAUAACGGAUGCUUUUCGAAGGUUGAGGUAGACGAUUUCCGAAGGUUUCUUGGUUAUGUGUUGACGGAUGGAUACAGCUGGAUGUAGGGAUUGUUAGUUUGGGUGAUAUAUAUUGCUCCCCUGUAUCCCCAACACCAGAUUGCAUAACCAGAAAGUUUUGGGAGUUUCAUAGGUGGGAAUUCAAGUAGCUCUUAGGAUAUCUUUCUGACGGAUGUAUGAUAUGAAAUUGGGGCUCGAAGUCUAGUGGUCCGCCUAUUCACGGUUGGCUUUACAGUGGUCUCGUUGUGUCUUAAAGAGUCCUUGGCUAUGCCAACUCGGGGACGCUUCGUAUGUCAUGUGCACUGCCUUGUACAUGAUGGUGCUGUACGAUUGAGCCCGUGUAGGCCCCACCACAAAAACUUCAGACGAAAUCUCUAUCAUAUGUUUGUUCCGGCUUAUUCUGCAAGCCAGUACUUUGUUUUUGUUUUGAGUUGUGGUAUUCGAGUUGCUUCAAUGUCAAGUGUUGAUUCCAUACCUUUCCUAAAUGGUGGUCUCAUACUCCGAUGUGAAUACCAAUCCUUCUCGACAAUCGAGAUUGUCAUGUCAAUCCUUUUCAACCGGUGUGCUUCUCUUCAAGUGGAUCCCAUCAUUUUUCCCAUCCGGAAGAUCAAAUCUAAGUUUUCUCAACGGUGUUUGUUUCAUCCAUCCCAAGUUGUCUUUGUUUUCCCGCCCACCCACCCUUUUUCCUCAAGGACUCAGAUUUCUUAACCAAGUAUCCAUUUAUUCAUGUGAAGUUUCUCCAUUCUUUUCCGUCAAUGUUCUUACCCGGUGGUUCUCAAGAAGAUGUCCUACUAGUUUGUCAUUCGUCAUUCCUUUCUCUUCUCCGGUGGAUUCAAGUCAAGUUUUGUUGAUCAUAUCUUUUUCCUCAUUUCAAUGUCUUCUCAUACCGGUGCACCUCAUUAUCAUUCUACUUCUCGCUAUUUGUUAUUCCGGAGUGCUCAAGAUAUCUCGAAGAUUUGCGUUUCCAUUCUCAAUCCCUUCAAGAUAUUUCGAGAUUGGUAUCCCAUUCAAGUCAUUUAAUUCAACCGGUGCAACAUCUCUUUUAAAUAAUUUCCGAUGGUGUUUCUUUUGAGUGGGCCCUAACCCACAGGUCUUUUUCCAGGAUCUUACCUGACUCUUCUAUUUUCCCAGAGCUAUCCUAAAUUCUUCUCCAAGUUUGACGUAAGAAUGAGUUAUCAUCAGUCAAAUGCUUUCUCCAAGAUCUUUUAAAUUCUUUUCAUAGUUGGCUCAACUUCUUCGCUUUUGAUUCUUCCGGUGUGCCUCAAUAAUUCUCGGUGGUGUUUCUCGUCAUCAUUCUCAACAUUUGAAGACCGAAGAAGAGUUUCUCUUUAAUCUUGCUCUAUUCUCUUCAAGAUGCGUGGUUCUAGCUUGUUGCCAUCCUCUCAUAAUUGUUUUCGAUUGUGAGAAUUCUUUUCACCCAUCCGGAGCAUUUCAUGAGUUGUUUCCAUUUCUUUCUUCCGAAGGCCAUCAUUUCUGAAUACUACUCAUUCUCAGCUUUCAGCUCUCGUUCUUGAAUUCUUACCGGUGAAUCGUUCAAUUAUCCUCUAAUCAGUUCAUGUUCUCUUCAUUCUCAUGUAUCUAAAUCCCCUCAAGUAUCUUCAUUCGUCUUCCAAUUCUUCCGGUGAAUUGUGCAUUUGCUACUCUCUUUUUCAAUUCUUACGGUGGUUCUUUCAAGAUCUCUCUUCCUUGUUCAUCAUAUCAAUAUUUGUUGUUUCCAAAUCCCACCGGUGGUUCCAUCAAUACCUUCUCAAGCUUGCGCCAUAUCUAUCUUAAUCCUUUCUACGAGAAUAAGUAGUAUGCCAAAUCCAUUGCUUGUCAUCAAUCUAAUUGGUGAAGGAUGAGCAUAAUGUAAUUCUUAUUCUUGUUUCAUCGAGUAAAUUCAAUUCUUUUCUUCCGGAGAUUGUUCAGGAUGAAGUAAUUCUCGGUUCUAGUGUUCAUCUUUUCUUUCCAGAGUUCCAAGUUUUCUUGGAUGUCUCGUCACGAAGCUCCACCUAUAUCAUUGCAAGGCUUCAAUCUUGUUUGCUUCAACCUUCAAUUCUUGUAUGUUAUCAUUUCCUAUCCGGAGUUCUUCAUGCAGGCAACAUGGUGAUUCGUCAAGGAUUCUAUUCAUUCUUCAAUUGUUCUUCAAGUUUUCUCUUGAAGUUAUGACCCGCCAAGCUAUACUCUAAAAUAAACAUGGUGCUCAACACAUGUUUUGUUUUGAGGAGCUCAAGUAUUCUUCAUCUUGCAUCCCAAAGUGCAAUUCUUCUCCAUUAUCUGUUGAGGUGGUGUUAUGUCACUCUUGACAAUUUCCUUCUUGUUUCAUGAUUCAUAUGUUGUCAAGAAUGAGGUACUUUAAAUCCACCAAUAUCUUCCUUGGAGUCAUCUUGUGUCAUGGUUCACCUAAAGCUUUCCCUAAGGAUUGUUGCUAAUUAUGGUGCUUAUAAAUGACCCAAGUUCUUCACUUGUCCUCCCGGUGAAAUAAGUUUCUCGUCUCCUUGUUGAUAUUCAAUCCAAUCAUUUGUUUCCGUUGGUGGCAGAAGCUCACCUCAUAAUUUUGAGAUGCUUUCAUAAGCCCGCCACAAGCUUAUUCUUUUCGUUGUUGGUUUCCCAACAACCCCGUUAUAACCUUCUUAGAAGGGUGCUUUCCAAGAUCAUUUGUGGCAGAAGUUGGCAUUUUCUUCUCCGUUCUUUUAUUCAAAUGAUCUAUCUUCUAUUCUUUCGUUACGGAGGUAUGGUGAUGUUGCUCUCUUCACUAAUCAUCUCAAAUUGUGAGGAUCGUGGUCUUUUCUUGCUUAUCCAUUUAACCGGAGUGUUGUAUCAUCUCUUCAGUAUCUUUUCAUCUCAUCAAGUUUUCUUCUCUUUUCUACCGGAGUGCUGUCCAAAUUCUGUCAUGCUUGUUCCUUGUCUAUCUCAUUAUACCGAGGUGGUCAUAUUCUUUUCGUUCGUGAAACUUUUGAUUCAUGUCUUUGCAACCUUCAGUUCUCGUAAUGUUCCUUGUUCCUUUUUUCUAACGGAUUGUUUGCAAUCUCGUUCAUCUCAGUCGUACUCUUUCUUUUAAAUUGCUCAACCUCUCAAGGUCCGUUGUUUCACUCGUUUGCCGAAGAAGCAACUUAGUUUUACCUCUUCUCUUCCUCUUCCGUUUCUCUCCGGUGCCAUCCUAGAUCUCGGGACGAGAUCCUCUCGUAGUGGUGGAGUGUUGUAACGCCCCGGAUCCGAUGUGCCAGGUGUCGUCCAGUUAUUCGUUGUUGUUGCCUUGUCAUCUUCUUGCGUGUUGCAUUUUAUCAUGUCAUCAUGUGCAUUUCAUUUUGCAUACGUGUUCGUCUCAUGCAUCCGAGCCUUUUCCCCGUUGUCCGUUUUACAAUCCGGCACUCCUAUGUCCUCCGGUGUUCCCUUCUUCCCUCUUUUCGUGUGCGGGUAUUAAACUUUCUCGGAAUGGCCCGAGGUUUGCCAAGCGGCCUUGGUAUAGCACCGGUAGACCGCCUGUCAAGUUUCGUGCCAUUUGGAGGUCGUUUGGUACUCCAACGGUUAACCGGGUAACCAUAAAGCCCUCUUUGAGUUGCAGCCCAACACCCCUUCCAAAGUGGCCCAAAACCCAUCUAACUCCCCUCCAUGUUCUCGGUCGUUCGAUCACGAUCGCGUGGCCGAAAACCACUCCUCAUUUGGACUCUCCUAGCUCCCUCCACCUAUAAAAACGUCUUCCCCUCUCCAUUUUCGGAUCAUUUCCCCCCGAAACCCUAACCCCGCUCCUCUCCGCGCCGCCGGACACGUCCGAUCUGGACCGGACGCGUCCGCCGGCCACCUCACUCCGGCCAAUAGCAGGCUGCCACGUCACCCCGCCGCCGCCGCUAGCUACCCACACACCGCCACCUCACCCGCGCCCGCACCCUCUCUCUCCUCCCUCCGCCGCAGCCCGCGGGAGGCCCUCCCGGCCCGGUCGGCUGCCGCCGCUGGCGGCACCCCGUGCCUCCCGGGCCCGCGCUCGCCCUCCGCGUCGCUAUGCCAUCCAUCAUCGCCGGCGACCGGGGCCUCGCCGGAGCCCCACAUCGCCGGCCCCGCCGCCCUGCCUCGCGGGUNNNNNNNNNNNNNNNNNNNNNNNNNNNNNNNNNNNNNNNNNNNNNNNNNNNNNNNNNNNNNNNNNNNNNNNNNNNNNNNNNNNNNNNNNNNNNNNNNNNNNNNNNNNNNNNNNNNNNNNNNNNNNNNNNNNNNNNNNNNNNNNNNNNNNNNNNNNNNNNNNNNNNNNNNNNNNNNNNNNNNNNNNNNNNNNNNNNNNNNNNNNNNNNNNNNNNNNNNNNNNNNNNNNNNNNNNNNNNNNNNNNNNNNNNNNNNNNNNNNNNNNNNNNNNNNNNNNNNNNNNNNNNNNNNNNNNNNNNNNNNNNNNNNNNNNNNNNNNNNNNNNNNNNNNNNNNNNNNNNNNNNNNNNNNNNNNNNNNNNNNNNNNNNNNNNNNNNNNNNNNNNNNNNNNNNNNNNNNNNNNNNNNNNNNNNNNNNNNNNNNNNNNNNNNNNNNNNNNNNNNNNNNNNNNNNNNNNNNNNNNNNNNNNNNNNNNNNNNNNNNNNNNCUCGUGUCGGCGCCGUUCCCCGCCGGGGACCCCCACCGCGCCGCCUCCCGCGCCUGGCCGCCGGAUCCGCCCCGUCCCCGCCGUCCGCCGGCGUCCUCGCCUCGCCGGAUUUGCAGCGCCGCCCCUACCUCGCUCGAUCCAGGCGGGAUCGAGGAGGACGAACCCCUCCGCGGGCCAAGGCCCAGCCCCGUCCAGAUCCGACCCAGCCUCCUCGGCCCAGCGGCCUCCAGGCCCAACGUCCAGCUCCAGCGGCCCAGCCGGCCUCCCCUCCAAGGCCCAGCGCCAGGCCUCCUCUGCUUCCGACCCGGGCCAGGCCCAAUGUGAGCACAACCCCAGCCCAGCACCCAGCGGUUUCAGCCCGUGUAUAUUUUUUCCUGCUACUGCGGUUUUAACAUUAUCCAUUGUAUUAACAGUUUUACAGAAAAACCCCUCCAUGUUCAUGCAUUAAUAACUCAUUAACCGUGCAUCGGAUUAAAACAAACUUUAUAUGUAAAAUGCUUAGAAUUUCAUCUAGUUUCAUAAUAUGCCAUUUUCAUCCAUGUUUAAAAUGUAUAAAAUGUUGUUUUUUUAAUUUUGCUCAAAUAGCAUGUUAAAAUGAUUUAUUUCAUAACUAAUUAACCGUAGCUCCAUUUUAAAUAAACUUUAUAUGUAAAUGGGGUGAAAAAAUGCCUAGUUUAACAUGGUCCACUUUAUUUUCCUGUUUAACAACUUUAAAAUAUGGUUUAGGACAGAACAGUACCAAUUUCGAAAUAUGCAUAUGAGGACUUACCGGAAUUGUUAUAUGUUGUUCCCGGCCUCAUUUAAACUUGCCUUGAUGUGUUGUUCUUGUGUGCAUCAUCUCUUGCCAUGAGUAGCUUCAUGUAGCUUGGUCAUGCAUCAUGCUUGUUGUGCAUCAUGUCAUGUUCAUGUGUGGUGUGUUUACCAUGUAGUGUGCUUCUUCUCGAUAGUUCCCGUUUCGUUGCGAUCGUGAGGAUUCGUUCGUCUUCGGUUGGUUCGGCUUCAUCCGUUCAUCUUCUUCAUGGACUCGUUCUUCUUCCUUGCGGGAUUUCAGGCAAGAUGACCGCUACCCUGGAUCUCACUACUAUCAUUGCUAUGCUAGUUGCCUCGUUCUUUCGCUAUGCUGCGCUACCUAUUACCUGUUUGUCCAGCCAUCCCAUAUUGCCAUGAACCUCUAACCUUUGACACCUUUCCUAUGCAAACCGUUGUUUGGCUAUGUUACUGCUUUUGCUCAGCCCCUCUUAUAGCGUUGCUAGUUGCAGGUGAAGUUGAAGAUUUCUCCAUGGUGGACAGGGUUUAUGUUGGGAUAUCACAAUAUCUCUUAUAUUAUUAAUGCAUCUAUAUACUUGGUAAAGGGUGGAAGGCUCGGCCUUAUGCCUGGUGUUUUGUUCCACUCUUGCCGCCCUAGUUUCCGUCAUACCGGUGUUAUGUUCCCGGAUUUUGCGUUCCUUACGCGGUCGGGUGAUUUAUGGGACCCCCCUGACAGUUUGCUUUGAAUAAAACUUGUCCAGCAAGGCCCAACAUUGACUUUUACCAUUUGCCUCACCUAGCCCUUUUUCCCUUGGGAGUCGCGCUCUCGAGGGUCAUCUUUAUUUACCCCCCCCCCCGGGCCAGUGCUCGUUGUGAGUGUUGGUCCAAACCGUCAGCCGCCGGUGGCCACCAGGGGCAACUCUGGGCUGGCCUACCGGAAGUUUGGACAAUCCGGUGUGCCCUGAGAACGAGAUAUGUGCAGCUCCUAUCAGGAUUUGUCAGCACAUUCGGGCGGCUUUGCUGGUCUUGUUUUACCAUUGUCGAAAUGUCUUGAUGUACCGGGAUUCCGAGACUGAUCGGGUCUUCCUGGGUGAAGGUCUAUUCCUUCGAUGAUCGCGAGAGCCUGUCAUGGGCUAAGUUGGGACACCCCUGCAGGGUAUAAAAUUUCGAGAGCCGUGCCCGCGGUUAUGUGGCAGAUGGGAAUUUGUUAAUGUCCGGUUGUAGACAACUUGACACUUGAUCCGAAUUAAAACGCAUCGACCGAGUGUGUAGCCGUGAUGGUCUCUUCUCGGCGGAGUCCGGGAAGUGAACACGACUUCUGUGUUAUGUUUGACGUAAGUAGGUGUUCAGGAUCACCUCUUGAUCAUUGCUAGCUUCACGUCCGUUCCGCUUGUUCUCUUCUCGCUCUUAUUUGCGUUGGUUAGCCACCAUACCUUUGCUUAGUCGCUGCUGCAACUUCACCACUUUGCCCCUUCCUUUCCCAUUAAGCUUUGCUAGUCUUGAUACCCAUGGUAAUGGGAUUGCUGAGUCCUCGUGGCUCACCAGAUACUUCCAAAACCAGUUUGCAGGUGCCUAUGUUACCGAGCAGGUGACGCAACCAAGCUCAAGGAGGAGCUCGAUGAAGAUCUUGCCUUUUGUGUUGUUUCGUUCUAGUUGAUCAGUAGUGGAGCCCAGUUGGGGUCGAUCGGGGACCUUUUGUCGCAUUUGGGGUUCUUCUUUUAUUUUGGUUCCGUAGCCGGACCUUGAUUGUAUCUGGAUGAUGUAAUGCUUUAUUCAUGUAAUUGUGUGAAGUGGCGAUUGUAAGCCAACUAUGUAUCUCUUUCCCUUAUGUAUUACUUGGGAUGUGUGAAGAUUACCUCACUUGCGACAUUGCUUUCAAUGCGGUUAUGCCUCUAAGUCGUGCUUCGACACGUGGGAGAUAUAGCCGCAUCGAGGGCGUUACAUUGAAGCAGACGCUCCCGGCAAGCUGUGUCCCGACACGUUUGCCGGGGAGCAUCACGCUCCGGCAGGAUCCCAGAUUCUUGCCGUAGAAGCGGAUGUUCCCGCAGCAGCAUUUACGCCUUUAGUCCUUGUUGUCGAGCCACAAGCUCCGACAUGGGCACAACAGAUAGUCCAUUUCCUUCAAACAGGAGAACUUCCGGAAGAGCAAGAAGAAGCAGAGAAAGUAGCCCGGCAAUCAAGUAUGUACCAGUUUGUCGAUGACAUACUAUACAGAAGAAGAUUCAACGGAGUGAAAUUGAAGUGCAUUUCCCGGGAAGAAGGACAAGAGCUGUUGGCGGAGAUACACGGAGGCAUAUGUGGUCACCACAUUGGCGCAAGAGCACUUGCCGGCAGGGCCUUCCGGCAAGGUUUCUUCUGGCCGACAGCCCUCCAGGAUGCAACUGCACAAGUAACCAAGUGUGAAGCGUGCCAGUUCCACUCCAAGCAAAUACAUCAACCAGCUCAAGCUCUCCAAACAAUCCCUUUAUCCUGGCCAUUUUCGGUCUGGGGGCUCGAUAUCCUCGGCCCCUUUCCCCGAGCUGUCGGGGGCUUCGAGUUCUUGUACGUGGCAAUCGACAAGUUCACGAAGUGGCUGGAGGUGGAGGCAGUGAGGAAGGUGACAGCACAGUCAGCAGUCAAGUUCUUCAGGUCAAUUGUUUGCCGUUUCGGAGUCCCUAACAGGAUCAUCACCGACAAUAGCACACAAUUCACGAGCCGCACCUUCAUGCAGUACGUCCAAGAUCUUGGCGCCAAGAUCUGCUUCGCUUCCGUUCCUCACCCGAGAAGCAACGGUCAAGCGGAGAGGGCAAACGCUGAAGUACUGCGCGGGCUCAAGACCAGAACUUUCGACAGGCUGCACAGGUGCGGAAGAAAUUGGAUCGAGGAGCUGCCAGUGGUUCUUUGGUCGAUCAAGACGACGCCAAAUCAAGCCACUGGACAGACACCUUUUGCUCUUGUCUAUUUAGCGGAGGCAGUUCUCCCCAUGGAACUCGUAUACGGAUCGCCUCGAGUGCUCGCUUAUGAUGAGCUUGAGCAAGAGCAGCUGCGGCAAGAUGACGUGCUGCUCCUCGAGGGAGAUCGUCUUCAGGCUGCUGUACGAGCUGCUCGUUACCAGCAAGCUUUGCGCCGCUACCAUAGCCGCAAAGUUAAUGCCAGAAGCUUCGAGGAAGGCGACCUUGUUCUUCGGCGCGUUCAAUCCGCCAAGAAUUCCAACAAGUUGACGCCGAAGUGGGAAGGCCCUUAUCGGGUAAAGCGAGUCACUAGGCCCGGCGCUGUCCGCCUUGAGACCGAAGAUGGCUUUCCAGUGAGUAACUCCUGGAACAUAGAGCAUCUUCGCAAGUUUCACCCAUAAGGCGCGGUUGCCAGGACCCGUUCCGACAACCACCUUUUGUACAAGCAUUGCCGCUGUCGCAUGUAACCCUUUGUACAAAGCCGGGCGCAGAUCCCGUGCAUAAAUAAAGAUUUUAUGUUCAGUACAUGUUGUCAAAUUUCGUGCAUUCUUCUUUUUAGCAUGUAUACACUGACACUUUGUGCAGAACUUACCCCCGGUAAGCAGCAACGAGCUUCAAGGCUCCAUAACUUUAUUUUCUCUUCUUUCUUUUGCUCAAAAAGAAGGUUCCUCCGCCCACAAGUUCACCAGGGGGGGGGGGGAGAAGAAGAUAAACAUGUGGACCGGGCGUCGUUCAAAGAAGCAUAAGCCUUGCCGGGACACAAGCGACAGAAAAGCUAAGUUGCCAAAGUUUGAGCACUGACAUUUUUAAAAUUUUUAAGUUAUAUUCCUUGAAGGACCGUGCCUUGUAUGGAAAACCUGUGCGCGGAGGAGUCGGCUCGUGGCUAAGUUGCGCCCUUACUUUGUUUCGAGUCCGCUCAACAAUGAAAGUGCGCUGCAACUAGCCCGACAAGGUUUCUUGCCGGAGGUAACACCGCCAGCAGGCUGCUGAUGUUCCGCACUCAGCGCUCGCGGCAAGUGUGUUCGCACCGGCAAGUUCCCUAAAAGCGUAAGGGUAAAAACAUACAAGGGAUGGAAUCAAAUAAAGGAAGUAACAUAGCGAAUAGUACCCAGAAUAAAGUUAUAUUACAAUAAAUAACUUGCCGCGCUCUAAUGGAUUGUUCCUAUGACAUAUCUAGCAGCGGCAAGAAGAAGGAAGGGAGAAGAAGAGUGGCCUAAUCUGCGCGACUCGCCAUCGAUCCUCCUGACUUCGUUCACCUUGUCCACGAUGGGUGCCACGAUGGCUUUGAGCUCCUCAAGAUCAGCACCCGCCGGCAAUUUCUUGAGAACGCGGGAGAAGUCGAGGCCUGGAUUGCGGAAGAGGAUCUUCACCAGCACCUUCUCCAAGACCUUGGCGCAGAUUGCGCGCGACUCGUCCGCCAGCUUCUUCGGGAUCCUUUCCCGGAGUUGCUGGAGGGCCGUCACCACGCCCUUGAAGAAGAGAGUAAGCUUGGCGCUGGGCUGGAGGUUCUCGUCGGAGGAGUACCCAAAGCCCGCCAAGUCCAGCUCCGCCAGCUCCUCGUCGAUGGAUGCAGCAAUGUUGAUGAGGCCCUCUAUCCAGAGCUCCACCGUAGCCCUGAAGGUGUUCUGGGUCUCAGCGGCCCUCGUCAGCAGCUCCUCAUUGCCCUUGAUCUCCUUCUUCAAGUCAUCCUCUCGCCUCUUGGCGGCGUCCAGUGCCUCCGUCAAGGUGGCCAGCUUCAGCUCCAGAUCAACGCUUGAGUCCUUGGCGGCGUUCAGUUCAUUAGCCUUCUCGGCGAGUUGAACUUGCAGAUCGCCAUGGGCAAGUGCAUCCUUCUCGCGUUCGCGCUGGAGUGCGGCAAGCUCUUCAUUCCUCUUUCCCAUACCCGCCUCCAGCUGCGCCACUUUCUCCUCUAACUCCUUCUUGGCGGCCUCAGCAGCCGCGGCGGCAUCCUUCGCCUCCUUGAGUGCACCGCCAAGUGAUUGCUCCCGGGCCUCGAGCUCCUCCUCGUGACUGUCCAGACUAGCCUUCUUCUGUGUGAGCUCACCUUCCCGCCUGGACAUCUCCUCGGUGGCGAGCCUCUGCUGCUCCUCGGGUUCAGCCUUCUCCAGGAUGAACGCCUCCUUUGCCUCGUCAAGUUGCACCCUCUCCUCCGCAAUGGAUCGGAGGGCCUCCUGGUUGCGGUUCUGGAGGUCCUGCGCGUGUUUCUCUAUGUCAACUCCCGCCUGCGCGACAAGCGCUUCCCGGGACUCGAGCUUUGCUUGCCGGGCACGGUAGAGUGACACCAACUUCCGGAGCAGCUGCUCCUCCUCGGACUCGCCACUCCUGCUGCUAGGCGCGUCAACCACUGCCAGCCCAGCAGAGGCGAGUACUUCUCCAUCAAACUCCUCUUCUUCAACCGGCGCCCUGGAGCUCGACGCCCAGGGAAGCUUGAUGUAUACGCCCUCGCUGGCCUUCAAGUAUGCGCCUGGCUGGGGCUCCUCGGAGCCCGGCACUGCAUCAGCGGCGGAGGGGUCGGCAGACGGUGUAGCGCCUUGCGCUCCUGCGCCCUCCGGGUCGUCAGUACGAUCGCCGGACCCCUCGCCGGCUCCUGCGCCAGCAGCCUUGGCGGCUUCCUCAUCGGCGGGUUCCUCAGCGCCGGCCUCUUCCUCGCCAGCGGCGGCAUCUCCAGUAUUGCCGCGUGCGCCUUCCUCGCCGGUGGCCUCAGUCUCCAUCGGGUCUGUGAGAGGGGGAUCUGAGGACAGGAAGAGGAAGGAGAAGUCAAGCAAAUAUCCAAAAAAAAAGAAGAAGAAAGAAGAUCAGAAGAAGAACCCAAGGGAAGAUUUCCGACAAGAAGGGUUACCUGUGCUGGGCUCCGUGACCAUGGGCUCCACCACUGGGGGCUCACUGGUUCCGCCCCUUGCCGGGGAGCACUCCCUUGUCGGAGAAUCGCCCCUUGGUGGCGUAGUUGAAGCCGACAGCACAUCCGGGGUGGCCUCUGGUUGCUCCUGGUGGGCCUGUUCUGCUCCUACACAAAUGAAUCAACAAUCAAGAUGUCAGCAAAAGAAGAAGCACCCAUGCGCGUCCCACAACAGGGAGUAAACCAAACACUUACGCUGGGGGCUGUGCUGGGGGCUGCUGCAAGGAGAAGGGAUGGGGUCCGUCAAGGUGGUCUCGGACGUGUCUUCUGCCAUCACAGCAGGAUCGUCCUCGAUGACAACCACGGGGACCUUGGCCCUCUUCGCCGCUCUCUCGGCCAGAGUCCUGAAAUGAAGCAGGGAUUCAGAGAGAAGCAAAUCAGAUGCAAGACAAGAAACGACAAAGAUCAAAGAAAAUCAAGAACAGCGAGAAGAAAGUCUUACUCCUCCUCCUCCUCUUCAUCGUCAUCGGAGCUCAGCGCGGAGAGGUCGAAGUCUGGUACCCUCUCUGCGCGGCAUGGCGGAGGAGUAGGCUCCCUUCGAUGUUUGCCAGGAGCUGCGGCAGCAUCAGACGAGGCGGCCCGGGAAGACCCCGCCUCAGUUGGUGGCACAGCCUGGGACCCUCCCGCGGCAACGGUACUUGCCGCGGUGGAGCGUGUCCCACGGCGCCUCGGUUGCUCGACUGCCUGUCCUCCUGCCGUAUCUCCAACUCGACGGAGGCGCCUUCUUGGUUGGAAUUGGGGUUGCGCUGGGGGCUCCGCCUGCGGCAAGCUGCUCGAAGACGGCUGGCCACUCGCGCCCUCGACGGGCUCGCUCGCUUCGGCCUCGGGCUCCCCCUGGCCAACGACCUCUCCGGCAAGGUCCUCCCUGUCGGCAAGGCUUGCCGCCUCGGCCGCCUCUGCCUCCUCCAACGUGAAGCCGAACUCGCCCGCGGCGGCGGCUGCCGCCGCCUCUUCGGCCCUGCUGGCGAUGUACCGCAUCUCAUUUUCGGUGGUGGCGCGGGUGAGAAGCUUCUUUUCGUCGGCGUUGACUGCUACCUCCAUCAAGCCAUUGAAGAAUUGCUGCACGACAUCGUCAGCGGGCUCCAUCCAAGUUGGGAUUAUCCCGUGUGAAUCGCACUCUGGCAUCAUUGCGCAGAUGCGAUCGCGCUGGGAGUUGUUGCACAAUGGGAUGAUGCCCUGCGGCAGCCUGAACCACUCUGGAUGGUUGGCGUCGUGCUUGAACAGCUCCCUCAGCAUCCUGUCAAGCUCCAGAACUGUGAAGUUGAAAUUGAGGCCCGGGCGCAGCCUCAUGUUAUCCGCCGGGCCGCCAAACUGCCAGGCGGGCCUGCCCCUCUUCUGCAGAGGGGCGAUGCGACGGCGAAGGAAAUCUGCGCCAACCGCCCCUGCUGUGAGCCCGGCAAGCCUGAGCCGGAGGAUUCGGGUGGUGGCAAUCUUCAGCUUGGUGUCGUCCGGCGACAGAGCGCCCCAGUCGCCGCCGCGAACUUCCCGAGCCUGGCGCAGGUUGGUGAAGGGCUGCGGAUUGGCAUCACAGAUCCAGCACCACUCCGCCCUCCACUCAUCCCACUUGUUGCGGAGCUCGCCCGCCAGAUACACCUCCUUCAUGCCAAGUCGAGAGGUCCAGGCGACUCCGCCAGCCAAUGGCUCUCCUUUUUCGGCUCGGGGGGUGAAAUAAUGGCGAAAAAGAGCAACAUUUGGGUGGAUGCCAACAAAGUUCUCGCAGAGGUGUGCGAAAACCGCCAUUGUCAGAACGGCGUUGGGGUGAAAUCAAGAAGAUGAAACCCGUAGGUAUUCAUGAUGUCGCAGAAGAAGUCCGAAAAAGGUGGCAGAGCCCGCACUAGAAGAACACCGGAAAGAAAUAGUACCCUUUUGGGCACCGCUUCAAUUUGGAAGCCUCAGCGGAAAGCACCGGCGUGCGCGGAUGCGCCCGCAUCUGUGUCGACCAGAAGAGGUAGAACUCCUCCCGCAGCGCCUUCGGGGUGAGCUCGGCGGGGAAAAGCACUCGCUUCUUGCACAGCGCCUCAAGCCGCAACGCCUCGGCCUACUUCGCGGCCUUGCUGGUCUUCGGAGCCAUGGCGGAAGCGGCGAAGGAGCGCGGAAGCGUUGGGGACGACGGCGGCGACGGGCGGCGAAGCGCUGCUCUCUUUCGACUUGGGAAGCGGAGGGGAUUGGCGGAGCUUUCGGAGGAAGGAACUGCAAGUAGCGAAGGUGGGGGAACGGCCCUGUUUCCUCUGCUUAUAUACAGGGGAGGCGAACGUUACACAUUUCCUGGACUUAAAAAAAUUGCCCACGACCUCUCCCACGACGCCGCGAUUGACGCGUGCCGUUACGGGAGGCCGCGGUGGAUACGGAGCGGAUUUGGUUUGGACCCAGGCCGCGCGUGCCCGUGCCCUGUUUUGGGCCUGGCCCAACAGCGCUCGGCACCGUGUAUGGCCCAGGCCCGGGGGCUCCUGUCGGUGUACUAAAGUAGGGGUACCUUAGUACCCCGAACUUGUGCACGGGCAGUCACAGCGUCCUGCGGCAAGGCUUGCCGGACGCCCGCCAAGACCCUCCAUCAUUCCCAUUUACUACCAUUCAAGAACAAAGUGUUAACUUUGAAGACAAGGCCCCGGCAAGAGGAGCUUGCCGGGAAGAACAAGACCCCGGCAAGAAGAGCUUGCCGGGAAGGACAAAACCCCGGCAAGAGGAGCUUGCCGGGAAGGCCAACCAAGGCACUUCAAAAAACUUGCCACGACGCGCCGCGCGUCCCGGCAAGACCCGACGAGCGGCAAGCUUGCGGGUGCGACAAGAUAGCGACCGCGGCAAGGCGCUUGCCGCGGCAAAGCCACCACUCUGCGCCCACGCUCCAGCUCACCCGACGACGUGUCGCCACAGGAUCAUUCCUGGUGCACGUGGCGUGUGGUUGUGCAGCCUAGCGGUGCGAGGUGGCGAGCGAAGGUGACUAGGAGUCCAUCGUGGCGAUCGGUGGCGCCCCUAACGGUCGUUUCCUGCACUGUUGGAACAACCAGACGGGCAGUAAAUGCUCUUGUCCCCUGCCGUCAGAGUUAGGUAGGGGGCACUGUAGAUUGCAGUGUACCAACCCACAUUUUUACCUUUCUACCCCUCUCUCUGCGUUACCACCUGUCGGUGACCCCUUUAGACUAUAAAAAGGAGGCCCGUGCGCACGUAGGGGGGGUUGGGGUCGGUUCGGUUCGACUCAUUCGAAACCACAGCAUACCCACGCUUUCGAGCAAGAACAAAUACAAACACAAAGCAGCAGUAGGAGUUUUAUCUCUCCGGAGAGCUCCGAAGCUGGGUAAAAAUCCCCCGCGCGCCCGACCUCGAUCUGCUCUUCAUGCACCCUCCGCUCCCUGCCGGACCAGAAAAGGGGCCCUGCCCCAUAGGUUCUCGUCUCACGCCACGACACAAUGGCUGCCAUCUCCUUGUGGUCUGUCGUCCGCCCGUCCCGAAGAGCGCUGGAGCGCGAGGAAGCCAUGGUGGGCAGUAGUGGUGUCGGCAGGAGAAAGAGAACGGAGGCGGAUGACUAUGGCUAUGGCCGGCGCGACAGUUUAUAUAGAAAUGGUGGGUGGCGGAGGGACAUACGUGUGGCGCUGGAGUAGUUGCCUUGGCAACCGCAUAUCAUUACUGUGGGUGGCAGAUGGAUGGACGGACGGUAAUCGCCUGCAGCGGGAAGCGGGGCGGGUGGCGCUGACUGUUUCGGGCAGAAAGCGCGUGCGGGCGAGGGAGGCGGUCUGGGUGGGCCAGGGCAAUCAGACUCGUGCUUGACAGCGGGUCGGUCCAGCAGCCAGACAUGCUGGCUCUCCAGCGAGCUCGCCGAGUUGAGCGACGACAAUCAGACGAUGGACGUAGCUUCCGACCAGGAGCCGGCGCCACUAUCCAAGCCGGUUCAUGCCAUGUUCACCAUAGAGCAGGUGCGGCCGCACUUUGACGCCCUAAGGGCGGAAGAGCUACCAGUGCAGGAGGACCUGUGUUGCAACCUCCGUCUCCUCAAUGAGCACCGAUGAACAAGCGAACGACAAUGCCAUCACGGACAUGUGGCCCUAUGAUCCUGGCUUCCCGAAUAAGCAGCGAGCGCUGUAUCAGACCAUCCGUAGGGCCCGUGAGGCCCUCUCCGUUGUCCUUCGAGUUGUUGUGCUCACCAUGGCGCCGUCGUCUCGCAUUGUCAACAUGGUCAAUGGACAUGAGGAAUGAGGAGAUGACUUUACUUGGAGAGGAUGACAGUGGGGACCCACCAGAGCCAUAGCCGCACGUACGCAAGUGCCUCCUUAUUAUAUACAACUAUAUUUUUUUGCUUCCUCCUAGUUUCCUGACAUCACGGUCCCACACCAUUGUCAACCUAUGUAGUCAAUAAAUGAGAGAAUUGCACAAGGAGCGGCCGAUAGUUGGGACCAAGCAGCUCGAGCAGUAUUUGUGCUUUUGAGGUGUGAGCACUGCAGAGUUUUUCUUGAGCGAUGUUUUCGGUGUUGUUCAGAGGAGAGUAGGGUAUUAACUCGGCGGGCUGUGGCCCGUCUAGCCCAGGCCAGAUAUCCAGCCCAGAUAUUAAUUUUUUUCAAGCUGAAAAUGGCUAGCCCAGCUAUACUUUUUUUGAGGAAUACCCAGGCAAGGUCAACUUGUUAUUCUCCGCCCCGCUCGGCUGCAAAUCUUUCCUUGGAGGGAUGCAUUAGGCUUAACAAGAAAAUGGGCUUUAAGAAAUAAUAAAUGGGAUGUAAUUAUAAAAACUUGGCAGUAACUAUAAAAAAAUGCACCAAACACGUAAUUACUUUAUAAAAUAUUAUUUUUGGAUUUUGAAAAUUUUAAUUUAAUUAAUUGUUGCAUGCGCAAUGUUUCGUUGGAUUUUUAUGUAAUAUAAAUUUAUAUUGAAAUUGUAUUUAAUCUGCCUAGAAAUUUCAGGAUAAAAAUAUUUCAGAUCCCAUCAAAAUGUGGGAAAUUUUAUUGAAUUCUAUUUUGAACGGUUGGAUGAAAUUAUUAAUCGUUGUCCUAGCUAGAAAAUGGGUGUACUUUUAACAAACUGUAAAUGGGUUGUAGUAAAUUCCAUUAGAAUUAAAAAAUGGGUUGCACAUUCUUACAAAUCUCAAAUGAGAUAUAAGUUCUCUGCCACACACUUGUGGGCUUACUAAGUUGACGCGUCCCCUAAAAAAAAUAAGUUGACGCGUAUGCAAGGCUUUGUCAACUUAUAGUCAACACACAGUUCUGGCAGCAGUGGCCAUUGGAUGUCCAUCCAACGGAUGUCGUGCUUCUGCUUCAAUCUCGUAUAUUCUAGCUUCACCCGCCCAAAAAGUUAUUCCUCCCCCUGACAUCUGGGGCGCACAGUUUCAGAAGCCGACUUAUGGUCCUACUAAGUUAACCCGUACCAAGGGCUUUGUCAACUUAGUCAAUAUAAACGAUUCUAGCUGCAGUGACCGUACGAUGUCCAUCCAGCAGCCGUCAUGCUUCUUCAACCUCUGGUCUUCUUGCUCCAGCCGCCCAAAGUAGCGUCGGUUGUGCCACCUGCUCCUGUCUCCCGUUGUCGGCUGUGCUGCCGCGGAGGCCUCACCGCCCCCUACUACUCCCACUGCUGGCCAGGCCAUCCCUCCACUCAGCCACACCCCCUGUUAUUCUGCGGCGACGGCAGCCUCACACCGCAGUCGAACUAGUGAACCCUCGUACUCCUCUCCGCAUGGGCAUCCACUGUCGCGUCUUCCCCGGCUCCGCGUUGUCCCUUUCCUAGGCCUCACUGUCCUCCACCGCCUUGGUGCUCUCAGUGCGGCGUGGUCAAUGUGGUCAACGACCGACUUCCAUCGGAAGAGUACUGUACGUGGAGAGGCUGACAGCUGGCUCCACGGCCGCAGCAAGGAAGUGCCUCCUUAUUACGCGGAAAAUAAUGAUUCCUCCACCUGACAGCAGGGACCCACCGGACGGGCCACCGUAUUUCGCAAAAAAAAGUUUCCCCCUGACUGCUAGGACCUACCAGCUACAUCUUCGCAUGCAAGGAAGUGCAUUGAUAUUACGAGCAAAAAAAUGAUUCACCCUCUGAAUGCUGGGACCCACCAGCUACAUCUUCGCACACAAGUAAGUGCCUGACAGUCGGGACCCACCUGGUCGAAGCGUACGUAGCGUUGUCAUUCCAGUCACGAACGUGUACAUACAUACUGGUCGAUGUAGAGGCACGUACGUGUCGUAGAAGAGGCACGCAUGUAGCAUAUACACGUACGUACAGUGGCCAGGGUGCAAGAAAGAAAAUACAGCCACGUACGUACAUACGGGCGGGGUCUCGAACGCCUACUCGCGCAUACGUACGGCCAGGGCUCAUGUACAUGGUUGGGUCAGAAUUGAGAAACUGCUCGUCGUCGUGUUCAUGGGGAGCCAACCGGCUGGGUCGGAACAUAAUGCGUCGUCGUGUUCAUCGGUUGGGCUUGGACGGAACAGCUGAUGGAAACGAGGCUUGGCGUACCACAGAAUGGGGGAAACGGCCUUGUGUUUGACCGGCCACGAUCAAAACGGGAUCCCGUUCAUCAGGAGAGGUCUGGCGUACUGCAAAACGGAGGAAACAGACUUCUGUUGAAUCUUCUAUGGUCGAAACGGGGUCCUGUUGACCGGGAGGAGUGUGGCGUACCGCAAAACGGAGGAAACAGACUUGUGUUGGAGCACUACGGUCGAAAUAAGGGUUCUGUUCGUCAGGAGUGGUGUGGCGUACCGCAAAACGGGACUCCACAGGAUACUAUUUAUCUCCACCGUCGACCUCCUCCAGCCUCCAGGGGCUACUGUUCAUCCACCUCGACCUCCUCCAGCCUCCACCUGCGACUAUUCAUCCACGGGCUCCUGUUCAUCCAGCCUCCACCGCGCGCUCCUCCACCGGCUACUGCUCAACCAGCCCUCUCCACGGGGUCCUAUUCAACCACCCCUCCACGGGCUACUUUCAUCUAGCCCUCCACAGGAUACUGUUCAACCAGCCCUCCAUGGGGUCGUCCUGUUCAUCCAGCCCUCCACGGGGUCCUGUUCAUCCACCCCCAACCGGCUUGAUCGGGGUCCUGUUCAUCCAGAGGCAACACCACGGGGUCCUGUUCAUCCACCCCCAAUGGGAACUGUGUAACGCCCCGAAUACAACUUUCCAUAUUCGUAACUGCAACUCUUGCCUUUUCCGGAGAUGUGAUAUGUUAUUCCCUUCGUGGUUGGGUUUUUGUCUUUUGUUUUGCAUUUUGUUCAUGUCUUGCAUCUCAUCUUAUAGUAUCAUGUGCAUCGCAUCCAUAUGUUUUCAUAAAACCCGUACCCGUUCGUAGUUGCCGCGUUCCCCUUGCCUCCUUUGACCGUUCCGAGACCAACCGAGUUUCUCGAGUCCCUCUUGUCUGACCACCUAACCUCUCUGCACAACCAUCGGCCUCCUCUUGUGCGUGUCCGAAACUUACCCGAACCCGAACCGGUCUGUCGUUUCCGAUGGAUCCGUAUCAUCCCCAAACGUCUACAAAACAUAUCCGUUUUCUCAUUUGGUUUCUCUAGCCUAUUUCCGUGACCACCCGAUUACGAUCGGAGGGACCGGAUAGCCCUAGCGUAAACCACUUGCUAUAUAUAUAUAUAUAUCUAUAUCNNNNNNNNNNNNNNNNNNNNNNNNNNNNNNNNNNNNNNNNNNNNNNNNNNNNNNNNNNNNNNNNNNNNNNNNNNNNNNNNNNNNNNNNNNNNNNNNNNNNNNNNNNNNNNNNNNNNNNNNNNNNNNNNNNNNNNNNNNNNNNNNNNNNNNNNNNNNNNNNNNNNNNNNNNNNNNNNNNNNNNNNNNNNNNNNNNNNNNNNNNNNNNNNNNNNNNNNNNNNNNNNNNNNNNNNNNNNNNNNNNNNNNNNNNNNNNNNNNNNNNNNNNNNNNNNNNNNNNNNNNNNNNNNNNNNNNNNNNNNNNNNNNNNNNNGGGAUCCAAGCCCGCAGCCAGCCUCUCUCCCUCCCUCGUUUUCAGCGUCACCAACCAGAGCCCGAUCCAGAUCCCCUUCGCUCCAAUCAGCCGCUGCCUCCUUCUUCCUCGAUCUCCCCUACCACCUUCUCCCAUCGAUCCAUCCACCCAACCCACGCACAACCAGCCGCUCUCGAUCCAGCCUCGUGGAGCGCUCCUGAGGUCCGAGCUCCUCCAACCUUGCGACCCCGCUACACCGGCGAACCUCGCCGCCGGCAACCACCACCAGCAGAUAAGCCCUGCGCCGCCCCUUCCUUCCUGCUUCUCUCUUCUCCCUCUUACAUCUCCAUCUCGUUUCCUUUUUCCGUCAGAGAACCAUCAGCCGAAGCUGUCCCUGUCGCCCGAGCUCCUCCCUGCUCUGCGUCGCGCCGCUGCUCUGCUUCCCGGAGGACCUCGGCGAGAGCCUCGCUCGCGCCUCAUCCCGCCCCUAUGCGUUGACCACCACGGCCGCCGCGCCGCCCCUCCGCGACGAGCUCCGCCGCCCAAACUGCGCCAUCGCCUGCCGCAGUCCCUGUCGCCGUCGUCUUCAACGGUUCCUGACGAGGACGGCGCCCUCCUGUCCGUCUCGAGCGCCAAGUCCGUCCGCGCCUCGCCUUCCUCCACCUCGCCGACCCCUCCGGAUUCGGCCACUGGAACCCGAGCCCGCGCCGGAUCCUCAUCGCAGUUCCUCAUCGCCGGCCAGUCCCGCCCUCCGCUGCUGCCUUGCCGAUGUCACGCCGGUGCGCCAUUCCCCUGCUUCUGUGUGCGAGCACGCAAGGACGACGACCAGUGCCAAGUUCUGCUCGAGCCGCCUGCGUUGACCCACCUGCCUUCGCGCCAAGGCCUAGCCUCGCCAGAUCAGCAGGCCCAGCGCCCCCCAGCUCCUCUUCCCCGACCGGGCCAGGCCCAAUGUGAGCAGAACCCCAGCCCAGCACCCAGCAGUUUCAGCCUAGUGUUAUUUUUUUCCUGUUGCUGCGAAUUUGCCUAUUAUCCAGAAAACUGCCCAUUUUCAGAAAACCCCUUAAUGUUCAUGCAUCAAUAACUCAUUAACCAUGCAUCGGAUUAAAACAAAUUAUAUAUGUAAAAUGCUUAGAAUUUUGUGUAGAUUAAUAAUUUGCCACUUUCAACCAUGUUAAAUAUGUUUAAUUUGCUGUUUGCAUUAAUUUGCUAAAAUGCCAUGCUAAAAUGAUUUAUUUCAUAAUUAAAUAACCGUAGCUCGGUUUUAAAUAAACUUUAUAUGUAAAUGGGGUGGAAAAAUGCAUAGAAUAACAUGGUCCACUUUAUUUUUCUGUUUAACUACAUUAAAAUAUGGUUUAGGGCAGAACAGUACCGAAUCUAAAAUAUGCAUAUGGGGACUUUCCGGAAUUGUUGUUUGUUGUUCCGGCCUCAUUUAAACUUGACUAAAUAGUUAGUUUACUUUUGAUUCACCCCUUGCCAUGUUUAACAACAUUUAAUAUUGAUGAGUAGCAUAACCGAGAGAACUAAAUACUUGCAUGUGGUGUUUCGUCAAUAUGCAACUCAUUGCAUAUUGAGCUCCACUUAACUUGUAGUGUUGUUUGUGCAUAUUGCCAUGCCAUGCCUCAUUAAACCGGACAUGCAUCAUACUUGUUUGUGCAUCAUGCCAUGUUUAUGCUCGUGCAUUUACCAUGUUGUUUGUUUAUUUCCGGUGUUGCUUCUUAGUUCCGGUAAUGUUGCGAUUGUGAGGAUUCGUUCGACUACUCCCGUUCGUCUUCUUCAUGGACUCGUUCUUCUUCCUUGCGGGAUUUCAGGCAAGAUGACCGCUACCCUGGAUCUCACUACUAUCAUUGCUAUGCUAGUUGCUUCGUUCUAUCGCUAUGCUGCGCUACCUAUCUUUUGCUCUUCAAGCCUCCCAAAUUUCCAUGUCAGCCUCUAAUCUUUUCACCCUUCCUAGCAAACCAUUGCUUGGCUAUGUUACCGCUUUUGCUCAGCCCCUCUUAUAGCGUUGCUAGCUGCAGGUGAAGAUGAAGAUUGCCCCAUGAUGGACAUGAUUAUGUUGGGAUAUCACAAUAUCUCUUAUAUUAUUAAUGCAUCUAUAUAUUUGGUAAAGGGUGGAAGACUCGGCCUUAUGCCUGGUGUUUUGUUCCACUCUUGCCGCCCUAGUUUCCGUCAUACCGGUGUUAUGUUCCCGGAUUUUGCAUUCCUUACGUGGUCGGGUGAUUUAUGGGACCCCCUUGACAGUUCGCUUUGAAUAAAACUCCUCCAGCAAGGUCCAACCUUGGUUUUACCAUUUGCCUCACCUAGCCCUUUUUCCCUUGGGUUUCUGGAGCCCAAGGGUCAUCUUUAUUUUAGCCCCCCCCAGCCAGUGCUUGUCUAAGUGCUGGUCCGAACCGAGCCGCCUGCGGCGCCCCCUUGGGGAAACUCGAGGUCUGGUUUUACUCGUAGCAUGUCUCAUGCGGUGUUGCCCUGAGAACGAGAUAUAUGCAGCUCCUAUCGGGAUGUCGGCGCAUCAAGCGGUCUUGCUGGUCUUGUUUUACCAUUGUCGAAAUGUCUUGUAAACCGGGAUUCCGAGACUGAUCGGGUCUUCCUGGGAGAAGGUAUAUCCUUCGUUGAUCGCGAGAUCUUAUCAUGGGCUAAGUUGGUACACCCCUGCAGGGUAUAAACUUUCGAGAGCCGUGCUCGUGGUUAUGUGGCAGAUGGGAAUUUGUUAAUGUCCGGUUGUAGAUAACUUGACACCUGAUCCGAAUUAAAACCCAUCAACCGCGUGUGUAGCCGUGAUGGUCUCUUCUCGGAGGAGUCUGGGAAGUGAACACGGUUUCUGGGUUAUGUUUGACGUAAGUAGGUGUUCAGGAUCACCUCUUGAUCAUUGCUAGCUUCACGCCCGUUCCUUUGUUUCUCUUCUCGCUCUUAUUUGCGUAUGUUAGCCACCAUAUAUGCUUAGUCGCUGCUGCAACCUCACCACUUUACCCCUUCCUUUCCCUUUAAGCUUUGCUAGUCUUGAUACCCAUGGUAAUGGGAUUGCUGAGUCCUCGUGGCUCACAGAUUACUACAACAACAGUUGCAGGUACAAGUUAUGUGAUGAUCAUGACGCGAGAGAGAUGUUUGUUUGUUUGGAGUUCUUCUUCUGCUUCCUCUUCGAUCAGGGGAUAGGUUCCAGGUCGGCAGCCUGGGCUAGCAGGGUGGAUGUCGUUUGAGUUUCAGUUUGUGUUUCAUCUGUAGUCGGAUGGUGCUCUUAUGUAAGAUGAUGUUGUAUUAGUGUGGCAUUGUAUGCCUUUUGUAUGUAUCACCGUCUAUUAUGUAAUGUUGAUGUAAUGAUAUCCACCUUGCAAAAGCGUCUUCAAGAUGCGCUUCUAUCCUUGGUGGGACCUUCGAGUUCCUUUAGGAUAGGGUCGCAUCUUGGGCAUGACAAGUUGGUAUCAGAGCCUCGACCGACCAUAGGAGCCCCUUGAUUGUUGGUCGUUGUUGAGUCUAGAAGAAAACUAUUUUGAGUCUUAGGAUUAUAUACAUAUCAGAGAGUAGGAUUCUUUUUACUCCUCAGCCCCCUUCGUUGCUCUGGUGAGGACUCCUGACAUAGAUGUUUUGACUUUCCUCUCCUCAAAUUUCACGAAUUUUUUUAGGAUCACGUGGGUAUCUUGGGAUCGUUACAAUAUUCUUAUGACGAGAACAUUGUUCUUGGUGCCUCCUGACAUUUAGGGUUUGUGGCAGUGUCCCGGGGAGUUGAGCUCUGAGGUGUUGUCGUCAUAAUUUUAUCGUUGCAGUUCUAGAAUACCUGAGUUUUGCCGACAUCGAAAAUCUCUUUUAUGCAGUUGUUGGUGAGAUAACCUCGACGUCACCCAGUACUGGGGAGUUCGGGAGUAUUGCCAUAGCUCGUACAACGGAUGCUUUUCGAAGGUUGAGCUACACGAUUUCCGGAGUUUUCUUGGUUAUGUGUUGACGGAUGGAUACAACUGGAUGUAGGGAUUGUUAGUUUGGGUGAGAUAUAUUGCUUCCCCUGUAUCCCCAACACCAGAUUGCAUAACCAGAAAGUUUCAGGAGUUUUAUAGGUGGGAAUUCAAGUAGCUCUUAGAAUAUCUUUCCGACAGAUGCAUGAUAUGGGAUUGGGUAUAUCUCUAUCGUAUGUAUUUGUUCCGGCUUAUUUCUGCAAGCCAAUCCUUUGUUUUGUUUUAUUUGUGGUAUUCGAGUUGCUUCAAUGUCAAGUGUUGAUUCCAUACCUUUUCUAAACGGUGUUCUCAUAUUUCUAUGGGAGUACUAAUCCUUUUGAUCAUCGAGAUUGUCAUGUCAAUUCUUUCCAACCAUUGUGCUUCUCUUCAAGUGGAUCCGUUCAUUUCAACAUUUGUGAGAUCAAUUCUAGGUUUUCUCAACGGUGUUUGUUUCAUCCGUCCCAAGUUGUCCUUGUUUUCCCGCCCUCCCACCCUUUUUCUUCAAGGACUCAUAUUUCUUAAUCAUGCAUCAUUUUAUUUGUGGGAAGUCUCUUCACUCUUUUCUUUCAAUGUUCUUAUCCGGUGAUUUCCCAUGAAGAUGCUCAACAAUUUCAAGUUCAUCAUCCUUCAUUGUUGUUUCUUCUCCGGUGGAUCCAAUUCAAGCUUUCAGUGUUGAUCAUAUUCCUUUCCUCGUGUCAAAUGCUUUCUCAUGCUGGCGCACCUCUCAAUCACUCACCUCUUGCUAUUCAUUUGUUCCAGAGUGUUGAACAUAUCUCAGAAGAUUUCUGUUUCCAUUCUUAAUCCGUUCAAGCUAUUUGGAGAUUGUUAUCUCAUUCAAGCCAUUUAAUUCAACAGGUGCAAUCUCUCUUUAAAAUCAUUUUCAACGGUGUUUUCUUUUGAGUGGGCCCUAACCCACGGGUUUUUCCCCAGGAUCCUACCUGACUCUUCUAAUUUUCUCGGAGCCAUUCCCAAAUUCAUUUCAAAGUGUGACGUAAGAAUGGAUUCCAUCAGUCAUAUGCCGUCUCCAAGAUCGUUUUCAAAUUCUUUUCAUCGUUGAUUCAACCUUUCUAUUCUUCAUUUCAGAGUAUCUCAACAAUUCAUGGUGGUUCUCAUCAUCAUUCUCAACAUUUGAAGACCGAAGAAGGAUUUCUCCUAAAUCUUGGUCCGUUCUCUUGAAGAUUCAUAGUUCUAGCUUAUGUCAUCCUCUCAUAAUUGUUUUCAAUUGUGAGAAUUCUUUUCAACCAUCCGACGCAUUUCAGGAGUUGCUUCCUUUCUCGAUAACCCGAAUGCCAUCAUUUCUGAAUAUUAUUCAUUCUCAACCUUCAACUCUUGUUCUCCAAAUCUUACCGGUGAAUCGUUCAAAUAACCUCUAACCAGUUCAUGGCCUCUUCGUUCUCAUGUAUCUAAAUCCCCUCGAGUAUCUUCAUUCGUUUUCAAAUUAUUUCCGGUGAUUUGUGCCUUUGCUACUUUCAUUUUCAAUUUUUAUGGUGGUUCGUUCAAGAUUUCACUUCCUUCAUUAUCAUAUCAUUUCAUUCGUUGUUUUCCAAUCCCACCGGUGGUCCCAUCAAUAACUUCUUCAAGUUGGCUCUCUUUUCAAUCUCUCAAGAAGAAUAAGUAGUAUGCCAAAUCCGUUUCUUGUCAUCAAUUUAAUUGGUGGAGGAUAAGCAUAACAUAAUUCUUAUUCUCAUUUCAUCGUGGUCAAGUUGAUUAAUUAUUUUCUUCGGAGAUUGUUCAUGAUGAUGUAAUUCUUGGUUCUAGUGUUUCAUCUUUUCUUCUCCGGAGUUCCAAGUUUUCUACAUUAUCUCGUCGCGAAGCUCCAUCUAAAUCAUCGCAAGGCUUCACCUUGUGUUUUCAACCUCUCUUUCUUUCUAUCAUCCUUUUAUUACCGGAGUUCUCCAUGGAGGCUCUACAUGGUGGUUCAUCAAGGAUUCUUUUCAUUCUUCAAUAGUUCUUCAAGAUUUCUCUUGAAGUUAUGAACCGCCAAGCUAUACUCUAAAAUAAACAUGGUGCUCAACACAUGUUUUGUUUUGGGGAGUUCAAGUAUUCUUCUUCUUGCAUUUCGAAGUGCAAUUCUUUCUACCUUAGCUUUUGAUGUGGUGUUAUAUCAUUCUUGGCAAUUUCCAUUCAGGUUUCGCGAUUCACAUGUUGUCAAGAAUGAGGUAUUUUAAAUCCAUCAAUCUCUUCUUUGGAGUUAUCUUGGUAUAGAUUUCACCUAAAGCCUUCCUUAAGGAAUGUUGCUAUUUGGGGUGCUUAUCAAUGAUCCGAAUUUUCUCCUUCUCAUCUCGGCAAAGAAGUUUUUCAUCUCUUUGGUGUUCUCAAUCAAAGUAAUUGUUUCCGUUAGUGGCCGGUUGUCACCUCAUAAUUUUGAGAUGUGUUCCAUAAGCCCACAACAAGCUUGUUCUUUUCGUUGUUGGUUUUCCAACAACUCCGUUCUAACCUUCUUGGAAGGAGGCUUUCCUAGUUCAUUUGUGGCAGAAGUUGGCAUUUUCUUCUCCGUUCUUUUAUUCCAAUGAUCUAUCUUCUAUUAUUUCUUCCGGAGGCAUGGUGAUGUUGCUCUCUUCACUCAUCAUCUUGAAUUGUGAGGAUCGUGUUCUUUUCAUGCUUAUCCAUUUAACCAGAGUGUUGUGUCAUCUCUUCAAGUGCUUUUCAUCUUAUCAAGUUUUCCUUCUUCUUUCAGUCGGAGUGCCACCCAAAUUAUAUCAAUCUUAUUCCUUCGCUAUCUAGUUUUAACCGGAGUGGUUUCAAAUUCUAUCUUGUCCAUUAAACUCUUGAUUCAUGUCUUUGCAACCUUCAAGUUCUCGUAAUGUUCCUUGUUCCUCUUGCCCAACGGACUGUUUGCAAUCUUGGUCAUCUCCGUUGUUUUGUUUCUUUCAAUUUAUUCAAACUCUCAAGGUUCAUGGUUUCACUCGUUUGUCGAAGAAGCAACUUAGUUUUACCUCUUCUCUUCCUCUUCCGUUUCUCUUCGGUGCCAUCCUAGAUCUCGGGACGAGAUCCUCUCGUAGUGGUGGAGUGUUGUAACACCCUGAAUACAACUUUCCAUAUUCGUAACUGCAACUCUUGCCUUUUCCGGAGAUGUGAUAUGUUAUUCCCUUCGUGGUUGGGUUUUUGUCUUUUGUUUUGCAUUUUGUUCAUGUCUUGCAUCUCAUCUUAUAGCAUCAUGUGCAUCGCAUCCAUAUGUUUUCAUAAAACCCGUACCCGUUCGUAGUUGCCACGUUCCCCUUGCCUCCUUUGACCGUUCCGGGGCCAACCGAGUUUCUCGAGUCCCUCUUGUCUGACCACCUAACCUCUCUGCACAACCAUCGACACCCUCUUGUGCGUGUCCGAAACUUACCCGAACCCGAACCGGUCUGUCGUUUCCGAUGGAUCCGGAUCAUCCCCAAACGUCUACAAAACAUCUCCGUUUUCUCAUUUGGUUUCUCUAGCCUAUUUUCGUGACCACCCGAUUACGAUCGGAGGGACCGGAUAGCCCUAGGGUAAACCACUUGAUAUAUAUAUAUAUAUAUAUAUAUAUAUAUAUAUAUAUAUAUAUAUAUAUGCAGAUGAAACCCUAGAUCCUAGUCUGUCCCAUCCACCAAAAUUCCCUCACCUGCCGCCGCCACUCUCUUCAUGGGGAUCCAAGCCCGCAGCCAGCCUCUCUCCCUCCCUCGUUUUCAGCGUCACCAACCAGAGCCCGAUCCAGAUCCCCUUUGCUCCAAUCAGCCGCUGCCUCCUUCUUCCUUGAUCUCCCCUACCACCUUCUCCCAUCGAUCCAUCCACCCAACCCACGCACAGCCAGCCGCUCUCGAUCCAGCCUCGUGGAGCGCUCCUGAGGUCCGAGCUCCUCCAACCUUGCGACCCCGCUACCCCGGCGAACCUCGCCGCCGGCAACCACCACCAGCAGAUAAGCCCUGCGCCGCCCCUUCCUUCCUGCUUCUCUCUUCUCCCUCUCACAUCUCCAUCUCGUUUCCUUUUUCCGUCAGAGAACCAUCAGCUGAAGCUGUCCCUGUCGCCCGAGCUCCUCCCUGCUCUACGUCGCGCCGCUGCUCUGCUUCCCGGAGGACCUCGACGAGAGCCUCGCUCGCGCCUCGUCCCGCCCCUGCGCAUUGACCACCAUGGCCGCCGCGCCGCCCCUCCGCGACGAGCUCCGCCGCCCAAACUGUGCCGUCGCCUGCCGCAGUCCCUGUCGCCGUCAUCUUCAAUGGUUCCUGACGAGGACGGCGCCCUCCUGUCCGUCUCGAGCGCCAAGUCCGUCCGCGCCUCGCCUUCCUCCACCUCGCCGACCCCUCCGGAUCCGGCCACUGGAACCCGAGCCCGCGCCGGAUCCUCAUCGCAGUUCCUCAUCGCCGGCCAGUCCCGCCCUCCGUUGCUGCCUUGCCGAUGUCGCGCCGGUGCACCGUUCCCCUGCUUCUGCGUGCGAGCACGCAAGGACGUCGACCAGUGCCAAGUUCUGCUCGAGCCGCCUGCGUUGACCCACCUGCCUUCACGCCAAGGCCUAGCCUCGCCAGAUCCAGCAGGCCCAGCGCCCCCCAGCUCCUCUUCCCUGACCGGGCCAGGCCCAAUGUGAGCAGAACCCCAGCCCAGCACCCAGCAGUUUCAGCCUAGUGUUGUUUUUUCCUGUUGCUGCGAAUUAGCCUAUUAUCCAGAAAACUGCCCAUUUUCAUAAAACCCCUUAAUGUUCAUGCAUCAAUAACUCAUUAACCAUGCAUCGGAUUAAAACAAAUUAUAUAUGUAAAAUGCUUAGAAUUUUGUGUAGAUUAAUAAUUUGCAACUUUCAUCCAUGUUAAAUAUGUUUAAUUUGCUGUUUUCAUUAAUUUGCUAAAAUGCCAUGCUAAAAUGAUUUAUUUCAUAACUAAAUAACCGUAGCUCGGUUUUAAAUAAACUUUAUAUGUAAAUGUGGUGGAAAGAUGCAUAAAAUAACAUGGUCCACUUUAUUCUUUUUAACAACAUUAAAAUAUGGCUUAGGGCAGAACAGUACUAAAUCUAAAAUAUGCAUAUGGGGACUUUCCGGAAUUGUUGUUUGUUGUUCCGGCCUCAUUUAAACUUGACUAAAUAGUUAGUUUACUUUUGAUUCACCCCUUGCCAUGUUUAACAACAUUUAAUAUUGAUGAGUAGCAUAACCGAGAGAACUAAAUACUUGCAUGUGGUGUUUCGUCAAUAUGCAACUCAUUGCAUAUUGAGCUCCACUUAACUUGUAGUGUUGUUUGUGCAUAUUGCCAUGCCAUGCCUCAUUAAACCGGACAUGCAUCAUACUUGUUUGUGCAUCAUGCCAUGUUUAUGCUCGUGCAUUUACCAUGUUGUUUGUUUAUUUCCGGUGUUGCUUCUUAGUUCCGGUAAUGUUGCGAUUGUGAGGAUUCGUUCGACUACUCCCGUUCGUCUUCUUCAUGGACUCGUUCUUCUUCCUUGCGGGAUUUCAGGCAAGAUGACCGCUACCCUGGAUCUCACUACUAUCAUUGCUAUGCUAGUUGCUUCGUUCUAUCGCUAUGCUGCGCUACCUAUCUUUUGCUCUUCAAGCCUCCCAAAUUGCCAUGUCAGCCUCUAACCUUUUCACCCUUCCUAGCAAACCGUUGCUUGGCUAUGUUACCGCUUUU
rnacentral:lncRNA from 1 species